ensembl:lncRNA
CCCGCUCGAGCAUCAUUCAAGGUCGCAGAGAGCACACUGCUGGUCGGUGCCGGGUUGUUUCCUCUGGGAAUAGAGAGGGCAGGCAGGGCAUUCUGGCGUCACCCCAGGGCAUCGGAUUUCCACUUCAGGAGUGGAGAUGGAGAGCGACCGCAUUACAGCCGUGCGUAAUUGGCCGACUCCAACCACGGGUAUCAGCCGGUUCUGGCUCCUUGGCAUCAGAGCCAGACCGAGGCCCCUGCGGUGGACAAUUGGUUUCGGCACGCUGAGGAGACCUGGGAGGCAGCCCACGUUCACCUUCAACAGUGUUCGCACCAGGGGACAGGGUCUGGCUCUCGACCCGAAACCUGCCCCUUCGCCUACUCUGCCGGAAGCUGGGUCCGCGGUUUGUGGGGCCGUUUAAAGUCCUGAGGAGAGUGAACGAGGUAUGUUAUAGGUUACAACUACCCACUCAUUACCGUAUUAACCCCUUGUUCCAUGUGUCUCUCCUCAGGCCGACGGUUGCUGGCACGCUCCAGGAGGCUGAAGUGCGUAAUAUUCCUCCGCCUCCUCUAGACAUCGAGG